ACUAGAUUUGUAAAGUUAGUCAAGACAAACUUUGAUGUUGGCUUUGACGAUGCAAGUAUUCGCAAAGGACGGUGCUUUUGGAGGCAAGUGGACAUAAGGGUUAGUGUUGCUUUUGGAGGCAAGUGGACAGAAAGCUAGGGUGACAAAACAUUUGGAGAGUUCCGGAGCACCUCGUUUUGUGCCGACAGAAAUGCAGCUCUGUGUGUUAAGACUUGUGGUGGUUGUGUGUGUUUACAUCAACAUGGAAUGGCGCAAGAACUCUUAGGUGGACUUGGCAACAAGAGGGGAAAACAUGCUGGAUCUUGUUUACUCAAAUAUUCCUGGUGCGUACCGUGUGGAGCCCCGCCCCCACCUCGGCUACUCAGACCACAUCCUGACUACAUUCUACAGAGGUACCAUUGAGAGCAUUCUGAGCAGCUGCAUCACUGUCUGGUUUGGGAACUGCACCAUCGCAAGACCCUGCAGCGGAUAGUGAGGACAGCUGAGAAGAUCAUUGGAGUCUCUCUUCCCUCUAUCAUGGACACUUACACCACACGCUGCAUCCGCAAAGCCAACAGCAUUGUGGACCUCACACACCCCUCACACACACUCUUCACCCUCCUGCCUUUUGGAAAAAGGUACCAAAGCAUUCGGGCCCUCACGACCAGACUGUGUAACAGUUUCUUUUCACAAGCCAACAGCCUCCUCAAUAACUGAACUGAACUGUACUGAGCACAACACACACACACACACACACACACACACACACACAUCAACUGUAUAAACUGCACUGACCUACACCAAAUACACACUCUUCCAAUAUACAUCCAUGUAU